GAGGGUAGAGUUCAGUGGUAGAGUGUGUGCUUUGCAUGCAUGACAUCCUGGGUUCAAUCCCCAGUACCUCCA
rnacentral:tRNA from 1 species